CCUACGGGAGGCAGCAGUGGGGAAUAUUGCACAAUGGGGGGAACCCUGAUGCAGCAACGCCGCGUGGGUGAAGAAGUACUUCGGUAUGUAAAGCCCUGUCAGCAGGGAAGAAAAUGACGGUACCUGACCAAGAAGCCCCGGCUAACUACGUGCCAGCAGCCGCGGUAAUACGUAGGGGGCAAGCGUUAUCCGGAUUUACUGGGUGUAAAGGGAGCGUAGACGGCAAGGCAAGUCUGGAGUGAAAGCCCGUGGCUCCACCACGGGACUGCUUUGGAAACUGUGUUGCUGGAGUGCAGGAGGGGUAAGCGGAACUCCUAGUGUAGCGGUGAAAUGCGUAGAUAUUAGGAGGAACACCGGUGGCGAAGGCGGCUUACUGGACUGUAACUGACGUUGAGGCUCGAAGGCGUGGGGAGCAAACAGGAUUAGAUACCCCGGUAGUC
rnacentral:rRNA from 1 species